rnacentral:rRNA from 1 species
AGGGCCAGAGUCAGUAGGAGUAGACCCGAAACCGGGUGAUCUAUCCAUGUCCAGGUUGAAGCUGCCGUAAGAGGUAGUGGAGGACCGAACCCACAUCCGUUGAAAAGGGUGGGGAUGAGGUGUGGAUAGGGGAGAAAUUCCAAUCGAACCCGGAGAUAGCUGGUUCUCCUCGAAAUAGCUUUAGGGCUAGCCUCGGUGUGAGUCUUGCGGAGGUAGAGCACUGAAUUUCCUAGGGGGCGUCAAAGCCUACCGAAGAAUAUCAAACUCCGAAUGCCGUGUAGAUAUCACCGGGAGUCAGACUGCACGAGAUAAGUUGGGCGGUCAAAAGGGAAAGAGCCCAGACCUACAGUUAAGGUCCCAAAGUGCGCGUUAAGUGGAAAAGGAUGUGGGAUUUCGAAGACAACCAGGAUGUUGGCUCAGAAGCAGCCAUACAUUCAAAGAGUGCGUAAUAGCUCACUGGUCGAGAGGUCCUGCGCCGAAAAUGUCCGGGGCUGAAACGCGCCACCGAAACUAAGGAAUCUGAAAAGAUUGGUAGAGGAGCAUUGCAUGCGGGAAGAAGCAGUACCGGAAGGAGCUGUGGACUGCAUGGAAGAGAGAAUGCCGGAAUGAGUAGCGAGAUAGAGGUGGGAAUCCUCUAGGCCGAAUAUCCAAGGUUUCCAGGGUAAAGCUGAUCUGCCCUGGGUGAGUCGGGACCUAAGGUGAGG